CCUGGCAAUAGCGCGUGCUAUAAUGCAAGUCGAACGCUUUGUGGUUCACUGAUUUGAAGAGCUUGCUCAGAUAUGACGAUGGACAUUGCAAAGAGUGGCGAACGGGUGAGUAACACGUGGGAAACCUACCUCUUAGCAGGGGAUAACAUUUGGAAACAGAUGCUAAUACCGUAUAACAAUAGCAACCGCAUGGUUGCUACUUAAAAGAUGGUUCUGCUAUCACUAAGAGAUGGUCCCGCGGUGCAUUAGUUAGUUGGUGAGGUAAUGGCUCACCAAGACGAUGAUGCAUAGCCGAGUUGAGAGACUGAUCGGCCACAAUGGGACUGAGACACGGCCCAUACUCCUACGGGAGGCAGCAGUAGGGAAUCUUCCACAAUGGGCGAAAGCCUGAUGGAGCAACGCCGCGUGUGUGAUGAAGGGUUUCGGCUCGUAAAACACUGUUGUAAGAGAAGAAUGACAUUGAGAGUAACUGUUCAAUGUGUGACGGUAUCUUACCAGAAAGGAACGGCUAAAUACGUGCCAGCAGCCGCGGUAAUACGUAUGUUCCAAGCGUUAUCCGGAUUUAUUGGGCGUAAAGCGAGCGCAGACGGUUAUUUAAGUCUGAAGUGAAAGCCCUCAGCUCAACUGAGGAAUUGCUUUGGAAACUGGAUGACUUGAGUGCAGUAGAGGAAAGUGGAACUCCAUGUGUAGCGGUGAAAUGCGUAGAUAUAUGGAAGAACACCAGUGGCGAAGGCGGCUUUCUGGACUGUAACUGACGUUGAGGCUCGAAAGUGUGGGUAGCAAACAGGAUUAGAUACCCUGGUAGUCCACACCGUAAACGAUGAGUGCUAGGUGUUUGAGGGUUUCCGCCCUUAAGUGCCGCAGCUAACGCAUUAAGCACUCCGCCUGGGGAGUACGACCGCAAGGUUGAAACUCAAAGGAAUUGACGGGGACCCGCACAAGCGGUGGAGCAUGUGGUUUAAUUCGAAGCAACGCGAAGAACCUUACCAGGUCUUGACAUCCCUUGACAACUCCAGAGAUGGAGCGUUCCCUUCGGGGACAAGGUGACAGGGGGUGCAUGGUUGUCGUCAGCUCGUGUCGUGAGAUGUUGGGUUAAGUCCCGCAACGAGCGCAACCCUUAUUACUAGUUGCCAGCAUUUAGUUGGGCACUCUAAUGGAGACUGCCGGUGACAAACCGGGAGGAAGGGGGGGGGU
rnacentral:rRNA from 1 species